CGGCGGACGGGUGAGUAACGCGUGGGUAACCUGCCUCAUACAGGGGAUAACAGUUGGAAACGGCUGCUAAUACCGCAUAAGCGCACAGUACCGCAUGGUACGGUGUGAAAAACUCCGGUGGUAUGAGAUGGACCCGCGUCUGAUUAGGUAGUUGGUGGGGUAACGGCCUACCAAGCCGACGAUCAGUAGCCGACCUGAGAGGGUGACCGGCCACAUUGGGACUGAAACACGGCCCAA
rnacentral:rRNA from 1 species